rnacentral:rRNA from 1 species
GACGAACCGUGCGAACGUUGUUCGGAUUCACUGGGCUUAAAGGGCGCGUAGGCGGGUGAUCCAGUCCGGGGUGAAAUCCUCCAGCUUAACUGGAGAAUAGCCUUGGAUACUGGUCGUCUUGAGGAAGGUAGGGGCAUGUGGAACUUCCGGUGGAGCGGUGAAAUGCGUAGAUAUCGGAAGGAACGCCGGUGGCGAAAGCGACGUGCUGGACCUUUUCUGACGCUGAGGCGCGAAAGCCAGGGGAGCAAACGGG